rnacentral:lncRNA from 1 species
GAAGGUGGGCAUUAGGGUGUCGCGUCUGGUUUGGUGUGUAUUUCUCCCCGAAAAAUCGUUAAAAAUCUUAGAUAAAGUGUGUAAAAUCGGGAAAAAUUGCGUGAAAAUUGUUGCCCGGGUGUCGAACUAUCGUUUAAGUGUGUUUGUUGUGGUGCCCCCCUGGUUUUCUGCCGGAAAAGUCACGGUAUGCGUGGUUACCGAGGACUUGGACUAUUCAACGCAGGGGAUUAGGGCCAACUGCUAAAAAGUCUGAGACUUCAUCAGACGUCCAAGUAAGCCACAAAAAUUCACUUUUCUAAGCAUGCCAGUGUGGAAACCUUUAAAUUCAAGGGUCUGGUAUGCUCCGACCUUGAAUUCUAAGCUUUCCAGACUGUUUUACACACACACACACUCUGUAUAUUUAAUGACCUUGAAGCAGCUUCCCUGGGACACCCUGUAAAUAUUUGCCCUCCCCCUCACUUUUGUUUUUUUAUUACACACAAAAAUAGGGCAAGGCAUGAAAAACUAAUGAGGUUUUUCCUGGUUUGCCUCUUGGUGGUUUGGUGUACUUAUUUUCAUGCUUAGGGGUGCCAAAACCCUCCCCUGAGUCAUGCCUGGGGGUGCUAGAUCUUCCCCUGGGGCGUCACCAAAGGGUUGAAAUCUUCUGUGGUCUUAGCCCUUUUAUUUAUUCCUACUUUCACUCCCUUGCCUUACUCAAAAUUUCAUGUAAUAUAUCAAGAAAAGAGUCUUAAUAUAGGGGACAAUUUACUUUAAAAAAAAAAUUGUACACUAAUACACUAGUACAGAUUUACUAAAUCAACCUUAAAAUAUUUAAAAAACAACAGAGUUACAGCAAAAAAAUUAAUAAAUCAAAUCACAAAAGAUUGUAUGAUCUCAAUCCUCUUACUUCUCCCCUAUUUUGGGUAUUAAAGAAAAACUUGACUAAAAACAUUCAUGUAUAUAUACGCAGAAGGUUUCACUUCUAUGGUGACGUAAUGGACAAGGAGCAAGUGGAUUGCAGCUGGACGGACCCCUUGGAGGUGCUACUCCCUCCAAGUCCGUUAUCGCGCCGGAGCCUGGAGCCCCUCAGGUCAGGCUCGUUUGCGGUUGUUGUCUUAAGGGUUUAACUCGCUUAAUUCUUUAAAACAAAAAAUAAAAAUCCAAAAAAAUUCCAUCCUAACAUUGAUUGUGGUAUUAUCAGCGAAUAAGGGGACUCCUAUUUCUGGGUUGUUCUGGAAAAUGAAGGGUGUAAACAGGGUCGAAAGUCUCCAUAUUGAAAUAGUUCCUCCACGUCUACAAUUAGGGCUUGAUUUUGUGGAGAUCCUCUGGUAUCCGUCGAACAGAGUCGAUCCCCCUUGACGGUCGUUUUGAUCCGUUGGACAGCGUCGAGCUUGAGAUCCGUUGGACCCCGUUCGUCGACCAACGUCGAUCUUCGCGACUUCUUCGUCGAUUCCGAGUGGUUUGGGUUCAAUAGUUCGUCAAACUUCGACUCUCGAUCAUGCUCGUUUUUCGUCGUUUUCGAUCCAAGUGUUUCCCCGUUUUUUUCCCUGAUUUCUGUAGAUGACCGUCGUUCCUCGUUGAACAGCAUCAAUCUUCUCCGAUUUCUCUCGUUUUUCGACGUUUUUGACGGAUUUGGGUUGAGGUUAGUUGAACUUCGACUGUUUAUCAGCGUCGUUCUUCGUCGACCUCCCCGAUUUCUGUCAAUCAGCGUCGUUUUUCGAAGAUCUCUCCGAUUUUUGUGGAUCAAAUUGUUUCUUCAUCGUUUACCCUGAUUUCUAUAGAUGAGCAUCGUUACUCGUUGAUCUGCAUCAACCUUCUCCAUUUUCUCUCGUUUUUCGACGUUUUUGACGGAUCUGGGUUGAGGUUGGUUGAACUUCGACUGUCUAACAGCGUCGUUCUUCGUCGACUUCCCCUAUUUCUGUCAAUCAGGGUCGUUUUCGUCGUUUUUGAUUGACCUGCAUUGAGGUUCGUUGAACUUCGAUUGUCAAUCAGGGUUGUUUUUCGACGUUUUUGAUGGAUCUGGGUUGAGGUUGGUUGAACUUCGACUGUUUACCAGCGUCGUUCUUCGUCAACUUCCCCGAUUUCUGUCAAUCAGCGUCGAUCUUCGUUGAUCUCUCGGAUUUCUAUGGAUCAAAGUGUUUCUUCAUCGUUUACCCUGAUUUCUAUAGAUAAGCAUCGUUCCUUGCUGAUCAGCAUCAAUCUUCUCCAAUUUCUCUCGUUUUUCGACCUUUUGAUGGAUUUGGGUUGAGGUUGGUUGAACUUCGACUGUCUAACAGCGCCGUUCUUCGUCGACUUCCCCAAUUUCUGUCAAUCAGGGUCGUUUUCGUCGUUUUUGAUUGACCUGCAUUGAGGUUCGUUGAACUUCGAUUGUCAAUCAGGGUUGUUUUUCGACGUUUUUGAUGGAUCUGGGUUGAGGUUCGUUGAACUUCGACUGUCUUAACAGCGUCGUUCUUCGUUAACCUCCCCGAUUUCUGUUAAUCAGCGUC